GACGAACGCUGGCGGGAUGCCUUACACAUGCAAGUCGAACGGAGUGGCGAACGGGUGAGUAAUGUAUCGGAACGUGCCCAGUAGCGGGGGAUAACUACGCGAAAGCGUAGCUAAUACCGCAUACUAUUUGAGCGGUCGAUAUCCGAUUAGCUAGUUGGUGGGGUAACGGCUCACCAAGGCGACGAUCCGUAGCUGGUUUGUGAGGACGACCAGCCACACUGGGAGUGAAACACGGCCCAGACUCCAACGGGAGGCAGCAGUGGGGAAUUUUGGAGAAUGGGGGAAACCCUGAUCCGGCCAUCCCGCGUGUGCGAUGAAGGCCUUCGGGUUGUAAAGCACUUUUGGCAGGAAAGCGGUACCUGCAGAAUAAGCACCGGCUAACUACGUGCCAGCAGCCGCGGUAAUAC
rnacentral:rRNA from 1 species